GGGGUUGUGGCUCAGUGGUAGAGCGCUCGCUUAGCAUGUGUGAGGCACUGGGUUCAAUCCUCAGCACCAUUU
rnacentral:tRNA from 1 species